rnacentral:rRNA from 1 species
GCCCUUAGAGUUUGAUCCUGGCUCAGAUUGAACGCUGGCGGCAUGCUUUACACAUGCAAGUCGAACGGCAGCACGGGGGCAACCCUGGUGGCGAGUGGCGAACGGGUGAGUAAUACAUCGGAACGUACCCAGUAGUGGGGGACACCCAGUCGAAAGACUGGCUAAUACCGCAUACGACUUACGGGUGAAAGCGGGGGAUCGCAAGACCUCGCGCUAUUGGAGCGGCCGAUGCCCGAUUAGCUUGUUGGUGAGGUAAAAAGCUCACCAAGGCGACGAUCGGUAGCUGGUCUGAGAAGGACGGCCAGCCACACUGGGACUGAGGACACGGCCCAGACUCCUACGGGAGGCAGCAGUGGGGAAUUUUGGACAAUGGGGGAAACCCUGAUCCAGCCAUGCCGCGUGCGGGAAGAAGGCCUUCGGGUUGUAAACCGCUUUUGGCAGGAACGAAACAGCGCGUGCCAAUACCAUGCGCGAAUGACGGUACCUGCAGAAUAAGCACCGGCUAACUACGUGCCAGCAGCCGCGGUAAUACGUAGGGUGCAAGCGUUAAUCGGAAUUACUGGGCGUAAAGCGUGCGCAGGCGGUUUGGUAAGACAGAUGUGAAAUCCCCGGGCUCAACCUGGGAACUGCAUUUGUGACUGCCAGACUAGAGUCUGUCAGAGGGGGGUGGAAUUCCACGUGUAGCAGUGAAAUGCGUAGAGAUGUGGGAGGAACACCGAUGGCGAAGGCAGGCCCCUGGGAUAAGACUGACGCUCAUGCACGAAAGCGUGGGGAGCAAACAGGAUUAGAUACCCUGGUAGUCCACGCCCUAAACGAUGUCGACUAGUUGUUGGGGAUUCAUUUCCUCGGUAACGCAGCUAACGCGUGAAGUCGACCGCCUGGGGAGUACGGUCGCAAGAUUAAAACUCAAAUGAAUUGACGGGGAAGGGC